AUUGAACGCUGGCGGCAUGCUUUACACAUGCAAGUCGAACGGUAACAGGUUAAGCUGACGAGUGGCGAACGGGUGAGUAAUGCAUCGGAACGUGCCAGAUCGUGGGGGAUAACGCAGCGAAAGCUGCGCUAAUACCGCAUACGAUCUGAGGAUGAAAGCGGGGGACCGUAAGGCCUCGCGCGAUCGGAGCGGCCGAUGUCAGAUUAGGUAGUUGGUGGGGUAAAGGCUCACCAAGCCAACGAUCUGUAGCUGGUCUGAGAGGACGAGCAGCCACACUGUGACUGAGACACGGCCCAGACUCCUACGGGAGGCAGCAGUGGGGAAUUUUGGACAAUGGGCGAAAGCCUGAUCCAGCAAUGCCGCGUGCAGGAAGAAGGCCUUCGGGUUGUAAACUGCUUUUGUACGGAGCGAAAAGGCUCUCUCUAAUACAGGGGGCUCAUGACGGUACCGUAAGAAUAGGCACCGGCUAACUACGUGCCAGCCGCCGCAGUAAAAC
rnacentral:rRNA from 1 species